rnacentral:lncRNA from 1 species
AUUGUGCAUAGGCCAUAGGGUUAUCUAACUGUUCCUGGAUGUUGUUGUCAGUUGUUACCUGGUGGUAGAUGAUCGGUGUGCAUUUACUGGAAGUUGAUGGUUCGCUUGGAUUUGUGCUCUCUGUCAUUUUCGGUCCUGUCUGUCACUAGAUGAUCGGUGUUUCGCUAGAUGCAGAUGAUUAGUGUACUUGCACUAAAAUGUUACCUAGGACAAUCUCAAAACAAAGACCAAGCAGCAAAACUGCAAUUACGGUGUCCUUUUUUAAAUAUACUUCUUCGCUUUUCACUAAUUUGCCACGUGUAAAGUAGCACGCCGGUAUUAUUAGAGAAAAGUAUGUUUUUCAAAAUAAAAUAAAUCGCAGAUCAAUUGAGUGCUACUCUACACGAUAGAUCUGUAGUCCUUAUUUCAAUGUGUGGAACUGCAUGAGCAUAUGAUAUUGAUGGGAGACGGUAGCAUGAGAUACGUUCCACAAAUUUGGAUGGCGAUCCUGUAAAUGUGUGUAGUUAUGUAAUCAUGUAAUAUAUUGGUUUGUGAUUUUCAUCUCCUCAUGUGUUCUCAACCUCGUUUUGUAAAAAGAAACUUAUGAUUCCUCUGAAUGCAGCUGAAAGUUUACACACAGAUUAAUUUCUUUGCCAAACGUUCUCCGUAGCCAUCUUUGGAAGCGACCAGGGAUGAGACAACGAGGUUGCUCGUUGCCAAAUCCUCACAACUUCUAAGAUGAUCAACUACAGUUUGUUUUUCUUUGAAAAUUAGGGUGACAUCCAGCCUCUAUCAUCAUGGCGCACUUCACCGUUUACAUUGGGUUCUUCGAAAAGGCGAUGACCUCAGCGCCAUUGUGACGCACACCACCACCGUUCUUGGGUUUCAUUCGAUCCAAUCGUUGGUUUGAUUUUGCCUCUCGUUCUGCUGUUUCUUGGUGUUUGGGUGUUCAUUGGUUGCUGCAGAUGCACACGCUACUUGCAAAAGUAAGACCACAAUUACGGUGCCCUUUUAAAAACUACCUUUUCACUUCUCACCAAUGGCCGUGCUUGCCACAUUUCACGGCAGAAGAUGUCACUUUGCCCAUCAAUUGGUACAACAUAACUUAAAGUCCAAAGUACAGGUAUAUUUGGUGAGUUAACUACUAAUAAUGCCAAUUAAGCCAUGUACGGUACUACUUCCUCCGUUUCGAAUUACUUGUCGCAGGUAUGGAUGUAUCUAGAUGUAUUUUAGUUCUAGAUACAUCCAUUUCUGCGACGAGUAAUUUGGAACAGAGGGAGUAGAUGAUGGCGGCCUGUUUCUACAUUAUUGACUUGCCUGUGCCUCGACUCUAAAACGGCCAACGCCACAACACCAAGGGCCAGCACAUGAAUACUACUGUAGUACGAGAUUGCUAAAUCUCAGUCGAUUGAGAUUUAGCCAAGUCUCGGUUGAUGUUAUAUUCAUGAGAUCUUACGUGAAGAUUCGUGUAAACUUUUCUUUUUAGUUUUUUUUUCUUUCUUGCAUAUUAUAUCACUUGACCUAGACUUGUUAAGUCUCGGUCAACUGAGACCUGGCCACGCUACUACUAGUACUACGAGCCCGUGCUCCCCCAGCCAAGCCAGUCUCUGACGUCCAUUCCAUCACCGGAACCAGAACGGCACAGCUCUGCUCGUCCAUGGGUCUCGUCUGCUCGGCUCCCAAGGUCUACAAGCCGGCGGCCGAGGUCGACCUCGGCCCCGACAGCGACGAGCACUACAUCAGUCCCAACGUCAAAGGUUCUUUCUUCCCCGAUUUCACGCUCGCAUUUUCUACUCCUGCUGAAUCUUCUUUGUUUCUUGUCUGUAUAUGUUCUUCAGCUCCUCGGGUGGCUGGGCUUCCGGUGAAGAUGUUCGCGUGGGUGCUGGAGACGCCCGUCCUCGGCUCCGUCGUGCUCUACGUCCUCAAGAAAGACAACCUCGUCAACAAGGUGGAGAUCAAAUCAAACAACCUUCUUUCUGCUCUUUCUAGUGUCGAUUGCCAUGUGGAACCGCAGCAGGAACUAGAGCUUAACACUAAAUUUGACCUGACGCUGCAGCUCGUCUCCGACGCCGACAUCCCGGAGCCGCCAUUGUUCACUCCCACUCACACCUGGCAAGGUGGAUUCUCAUCACCUCCGGUCCGUUCCUGCAUAAGUAGUUCUUUUGUCACAUUGGGUUUAACUCGGUCAUGUCCACUGUUACUGCAGACAUCCCUGAGCAGAACGUGAGCCUGGCCAAGCCCGGGUGGUCGCCGGCGGAGCGUGUUGAGGAGGCCGUCGGCUGCCUCCCUGGCCUCGCCGACCCGUCAUCGCCGGGCUUCAGGCGCUGGACGAUCCGGGAUUUCACCAAGGCCUACACUUCAGGAGAGAUCACUCCUGUCAUGGUAAACGUUUUAUCUGCUCCGUGUCGCACUACGUACUGGCAGCCACCACUUGAUCACGCGAGCACCGGGCGUGGUUGCAAACACAUGAUGAUUGAUCAGCGACGUGUCCGGUGUCCCUGUUGAAUUCGCAGGUGGCGAGGAGGUUUCUGGCGGCGGUGGAGGAGUGCUCGGGCCCAGACCUGAACAUGGCCCUGUUCAUCAGCUACGACCCCGAAGACAUCCUCAGGCAGGCCGAGGAGUCCACCCUCAGAUACCAGCAAGGUAAACAUCAGCUUACCAAAACUUAUGCCUCGUUUCUCCGGUCCAAUCAAUCAAUCACCCUCAGACACGUACGCCGCCGGGCCGGGCCGGUGACAGCGAAGCGAUCGCCGUGACAUUUAAGCAGUAGGGCCGUCGCCGGCCGAAUCGAGGAUGGCGUGGCAGUGGCAGUGGCACCGCCAUUACGGAUGGUACGAAGACGAUGCCCCGCUGUCUUUGCAUUCGCACCUCCUCCGUGGUCCCGCUCAGCUCACUCAUCACGGUGUGUAUAGUUAGGUGGGUAGCGCAGCAGAGCCAACGGUGGUGUCGCCAUUGCGAGAACCUGCCUGAGGUCUCUCAAGAGCAGUGGAGGAACACGUUGCUCCUCGAGUUGUUGCAGAUUCAGCAAGUCUCGAAGCUGGCAGGAAAUUCAGGCGUUCACGGGGAAAAACCCAGCCCAAUGCCCAUGCAUGAAUGGCCGAUCUGGAGAUGCUGGUGCGUACGCGUCCAUGGUCCUGAAUCCCACGGAGGUGAAAGCAGUCGGCACUGAUCUGUGCUAGAAUUCAUGGCGCAUUCCGGCAGUGAUGCGUAUUCAUUGCUCUCAAUUUUUGUUGUUGGCAUGACUGUGUAUGAUUAUUAUAUGCGUAAAAUGAAGAGAAAAAUGCUACUAGUUCCCUCCGUUUCAAAAUAGAUGACUCAACUUUGUACUAACUUUAAAGUUGGGUCAUUUAUUUUGGAACGGAGGGAGUAUAUGCGUGCGCCAUUUCAAAACGGAGGAAGUACGUCUGAUGCGCUGUGCAUUGCAGGGGCGCCUCUGUCUGCCAUGGAUGGGGUGCUGGUGGCAGUCAAGGACGAGAUCGAUUGCCUGCCCCACCAAACAACCGGUAAAAAUACAGUAAAACGCAAGAUUUUUGUUUUUUAGCUGAACAUACGCUGGUACUGUGUUGCACUUGCACAGAGGAGCGUUAGGUUGCGUGCAUGCACGCACUCGUCAACUCACCCAAUAGUCAUGUUUGAUGCGAAGAUAUGAAUGGUGGAUCGCUUGCACCUGGCUCUCUUCUUAUCGACUUAAAUGAGUCAACAUACACACAAAAAUGUGCCCAUAUACAUCCGAGUCAGAAAAAGUUAGUAGAACAUCUUGUAACAGUGAAAGGAGGGAGUAGGUUUUCAAAUAUGUCUAUGUUUCACAAAUACUCGUGCAUGCAGGAGGCACGAGUUGGCUGGGAAAGAUGAGGCCGUGCGUGGCGGACGCGGCGUGCGUGGCGCAGCUGCGGGCCUGCGGCGCCGUCCUGGCCGGCAAGACCAACAUGCACGAGCUCGGCGCCGGCACCAGCGGCAUCAACCCGCACCACGGCUCCACCAGGAACCCCUACCACACCGCCAGGGUGUCGGGCGGCUCGUCCAGCGGCUCCGCGGCCGCCGUCUGCGCCGGCCUCUGCCCCGUCGCCCUCGGCGCCGACGGAGGCGGUGCGUGUGCUCUCUCUCUAGUGCUUUCAACAACUUGCAGUUAGUUAUCUGCCCGCAAUGCUACCUGAAUCCCACCGUGCCUGUGAUGCUUGCUCCAUUAUUUACAGGAUCCGUUCGCAUGCCCGCGGCGCUCUGCGGCGUCGUCGGCUUCAAGCCCACCGCAGGCCGGCUCUCCAACUCGGGGUGCCGUAGCUAACACAUGGCCUAGCUGCUUUCAUAUGCACGCACUUGACUUGUGUAGUGACGAGUGCGCUGCUCUUUUAACUCAGGCUUCUCCCGUUGAACUGGACGGUGGGGGUGCCGGGGAUCUUGGCGGCGACGGUCGAGGACGCACUUGUCGCGUCAGUGCCUCCACGCUUCUCUCUUGCAUAAACUAGCUAGCACUUUCGUUAUUACUUUUUGAACAUCAACCAAAUGGAUGUUCCUGCUGUAUCUAUCUGCACUCUGCUCAUCUUACCAUGCAUGUGACUGACUGAUCUUUCAGCUACGCGGCCAUGGUUGAUCAGUCUGGACCAGCUCACUCCCAGGUAAUUUUGUUACUUUUGCUGGAUGCAUGAGAGGUAUUCAGCUAAAUUUGCAGGCUUAAAUAUCCGUUUAUUUGCAGCCCCAGCUGAAUCUGCCAUUGCUGACGUCCACCCAUUCCAUGCCUAACAUCAGGCUAGCAAGAUACGGAAAGGUGAGCUAGCGUCUCUGUCUUCAGAUACAAACCGAUUCAAGCCUCAUGAUGAACACAGGAUAGUAGGAGUAGUAAUAAGUGUAAUAACUGGCAUUUUGAACGCAGUGGUUCGACGACAGCUCCGAGGACAUCCGGGGCUGCUGCGACAAGGCUCUGCAGAUCCUGCGCGCGCACUACGGGUGGGAGGUAUAGUACGAAUUAAAGAGUUUCUGACUGGAAAUGAAAACAAGGAUUUGACCCAUUUCUCUGAAACAUCACUCCACAUUUCUCUGAAACAAUGACAUUUUUCGUGGAUGGCACCGCAAGACCGUGGACGUGACGGUGCCUGAGGUGGAGGAGAUGCGUCUGGCGCACUACGUGACCAUGGGCUCCGAGUGCUCCGCUUCCCUCGCCACCAAAUACCUCGACAAACUGUGAGUUUUGAGUUAGUUUCUUUCCAUAUACUGUAGUACUCUACUUUGAAUCUGAAGGAUUUGUGCGUGUGUGCGAACGAAGGGACAAGUCCGAGAUCGGGUGGGACGUGAGGAUCGCGCUGAGCGCCUACGGCUCCUUCAGCAGCAGGGCUUACCUCAACGCGCAGCGGAUUCGGUCAGUCUGAUUCAGACCACGUUUUUGUUCUGUUUUCUACUAGUAGAUCUUUUUUCUGAAUGGAUGGUAUGAUCUUGAGAGCUGCGUGCUUCACAGAAACCGUCAGAUGUACUUCCACAACAAGAUCUUCGAGACGGCCGACGCCAUCGUUACACCCAUGACUGGGUACGUGCGUGGGGAGUGUUUUCAUCUGCCUGUCAAGCUAGCUGUUCACGUCAUCCAUCAUUAUUUCUUGGUGGCAUUCUUUCUUACCACCACCGCAUUUUCCUGUGGGUGCAGCGUGACCGCGUACGCGCUGCAGGACGACGCGCUGCGCACCGGAGAACUCGAUUACAUAAACGCAGGUACGACCGUCCUCCACGUUUCCAGUGAAACUCGUGUGUCUCAAAGCUGCAGCAAAUCCAGUGGGCAGCUGCAACAAUGUUUACGCUAACUCGUGGUCUUGUUGUUGCACCCAAAACCAGCCGCGAUCUCGAGGUACUCCAUCGCAGGGAACUUCCUCGGCUUGCCGGCCAUCACCGUCACGGUGCGCAUCCAUCCACUCAGCUUUCCAGGGUGCUUCGUGUACCUCGCGCAAGAAACAAUCUGACACGAUUUUUCUUGGAAAAAUCUCCAGGUCGGGUACGACAGGGGAGGCCUCCCCGUCGGCCUCCAGUUCAUCGGCCGGCCGUGGGCGGAGGCGACGCUGCUGCAUUUAGCCUACGCCAUGCAGGUCAGUCUCACCACAUGCAUCUCCUCACGACCUCACGGCCAUCUCUUCAGGGCUAGUACCUUUUUUCUUCCUCUCUCAGCAGUGGUGGAUGUGGUUGUUUGUGCAGGAAGCGUGCUCUAAGAGCUGCAGGAAACCCAUGGUGUCCUUUGAUCUCCUCAGCAAGAAAGAGUAGCUUCUGUUAGUCAUACGACUUACGAUGUGUGCGGCGAGAGAAGACCAUUGAUUUGGAUGCGAAUAGCUAUGAACAUUAAGUUUGUAUAAGCUUGAGAUACAUUGUAGAAUAUCUGCGUACAGCAGCCGUAUGAUACACUAAUGCAGUGGUACUUUUUUUUUU